CUCAUUUUCAAUAUACGAAUGAUUUACUUUUAUGUCAUAUUGAAUACCCAUAUAUCUAUCGGUAAGAAAAAUGUCUAAUUUGCAAUUGUUUUCAUUAAUUAUUUCAUUAAUCAUUAAUCAUUUCAAUAAUCCACAAGUAUUACGUUCUAAAUCACUUUGAACCAUUAAUUUUUGAACUAAUUUAAAACCAACUAUUUUUCCUGUCUGCACAUCAUAAUUGAAUAAGUAUAAUAUUUUGCACAGAAUCCAGGAAAGUCAAAUGGUCCAUCACCCGCAAGCCAAAUUUCAUUAGACCCAUUUUUAAGUUCUUCUAAAUUUUUUUUUCCUAUUC